UUAAGACGGGGACAGAGAUAAGAUAAAUCAAUCAGGUUAUGCCAAUUUAUUAUGAUAGCAAACUCCCAUGUUAAACGUCAUGCAUUGGUUAAAAUGAUAUCAAAAUCAGAUUAUUGAAUAGAUUUGACCUUGAUGUAGGUGAGAAAGAAACACAGAAGCAGAAGACAGCGUAUCUGAAGGAACAGUGAGAAACCCCGAGAAGAUAACUCCUGAUCUAAAUCAUCUCCACUCGAGCGUGACAGGACAACAUGUUAGUGAGAUGUUAUCGAUACUUUCCAGAUCUGUUUUUGGUAUCAAUGUGAUCUAUGGAAUCAUUAUCCAGGGAACAGAGGUGACGAUGGCUUGUCUGAGUGUUGGAGAAGAGUGUUAUAGAAAUCUGAAGGAAGGAUCCCUACAUUCCAUCUAAAUGGUCAAGCAGAACUGAUCAACUUUUAUAUUAAAGUUCAGUUAGUUUAUUAAAUACAUGUACCAUGGACAUUCUAUGCAGGAAAGGUGAAGAUAAUGAACAGUGUUCAAUCUCAUAACUCAUAUAUUGGUUUCCACUUUCCCUACCUACCCUAAAAAUUUCUGCCGACCCUUAACACAUUUUUUUCCGUUCUUACAGAUUUUGCAAAUAUCAUCACUACAAUAUUGACUUAUUCAUCAAAUUAUUUUUUAUGCACUAAUACUAGAGAAAUUCCAAAAACACAGAAACGGUUUUUGUUUACAGUAAAGUGAAGAAAUGUAUUGAUUAAUCAUAUAAAUUUUAUUUGAUUACUGCAAAAUUAUUUUUUUUAGUUGGUUUAAGUUUGUGACUAAAAUUCAAGGUAUAUAAGGCUGUGUUUGAUCAGUUUACUUCACUUGGUUAGGUGCUGACAUCAUGGUAAGAUUUCUUUUCUCUUAAUCUGAACAACAAAAGCCUCAAGGUUUUAAAACUCUGAAUAUAGUCACUAGCAUGAAAUAAGCAUACUUUUUGUAAAAAUAGGUGUUGGGAACUGCUAAAAACUUCAAGGUUUUACUGCAGACUUAAGGUUGUUAUUUUGUUAGGAUAAUACUCAGAGUUAGCAGGUAGUUUGCAAGUUUAUUAUAGGUUUUUCCUUUCCAAGUCCUGUUUCAAGGUGUAGUGGAUAGCGGUAGGAUAUUUUAUACUUUAGUACUGACAAUCAUAUCCUAACACAGUACUCUCUAUCUAGGUCAAGAUGUAGCUUGUUCUCUUUCUAUUUUUGGGGGGAAAUAUUUAAGAUUAUUGAAACCAGUAGGGACAUAUUUAGAUAUUUUCAUUCUGUCAUAUUUUCUUACCUCUGUUACAAACAUUUCAUUUUUUGCUGAUUCAUUUCAACUUUGAUUCUAUUUCAUACUUUGUUAUUUUAUUAUUUAAUUUGUUAUUUGCUACCAUUUACAAUAUCAAUCAAUCCUAAAUCAUUAAUAAAUUGUAAACUCUU